AGCGCGGGUAAACGGCGG
rnacentral:snRNA from 1 species